UGUUUGUCAUGCUGAAGUUAAUGCCAUCCUGAAUACAAAUCAUGCAUCUGCUGCAGGACAGAGGCUUUACGUGACAAUGUUUCCUUGCAAUGAAUGCGCAAAGAUUAUCAUUCAAUCUGGUGUUUCAGAAGUUAUUUAUUUUGUGGAGAAGAGAUUAGACGGUUCUGACACAGCGUAUGUUGCUUCGCACAAACUUCUGUCAUUGGCUGGCAUUAAGGUAAGGAGGCAUCAGCCACAGAUGAAAGAAAUCUCUAUCAAUUUUGAAGAACUAUAGACACUCCUCGACGACGUGCUCUUCUGUAGGCCUUAAUGUAUCUUAUGGAUCUCUCUUGGGUUAAAGAUGAAAGAUGGAUGUAAAUUAGUAAUGCUGCUAAGAGGGUUGAGGACUCGCAACUCUUAUACUAUGAUGGGUGUUCAAUUAUUGAGAUGUGUACCAAGUGCUUGUAACUGCUCACUUUAAGAUGAAAAGCUGCCUUCACUGGUUAGUGUAAAGCUGAUGAGUUAACUUCCCAUUAGGCAAAUUUAACAGAUGUUUUACUACAAUUAAAUUAGUUUUAUGUCGAUAAAAGUGUGGUAAUACGUUGAUGUGUAUCCUAUUCAUUGGAAGUUUAAUACAGAAAAAACAUACUUAUGUGGG
rnacentral:misc_RNA from 1 species